rnacentral:tRNA from 1 species
GACUCCGUAGCUCAGUUGGUAGAGCAGCUGACUCUUAAUCAGCGGGUCGACAGUUCGAGCCUGUCCGGGGUCACCA